GGAAGGAUCAUUGAAUCUAUCAAUACACACACCGUGAACCAAUACUGUCUGGCCCCUUGCUUGCAAGGCGCUCUCCCUAGCAUUAAUUUGCUAGGUUGAGUGGGCUCAGGCCUUCGGGUCUGGGUUGGUCUUGUCUAACCAUUUACACCUAACCAAAACAAACUAAAGAUUUAAUGCAGUCGGCCUAGCCGCUGUUAUCUAACCAAGACAAACUCUCAACAACGGAUAUCUUGGCUCUCGCAACGAUGAAGAACGCAGCGAAAUGCGAUACGUAGUGUGAAUUGCAGAAUUCCGUGAAUCAUCAAAUCUUUGAACGCAUAUUGCACUCGAGGCUUCGGCCAAGAGUAUGUCUGCCUCAGCAUCGGGUUAAUACUCACUCAACACACCCUGUGUGAUAAAUACGAGUGGGACCUGGCUGUCCCAGCUAUGCCGGUGAGCUUCGGCAAACCGACUAAGCUGGCUGGGUCAGCUGAAGUACAGAGGUUAGCGCAAGGACCCGCUAAGGGCCGCAACUGGGUAGGCAGCUCACGCUUGCUAAAUCUUAGUUGUUGGCUUGGGACUGUGCUCGACCCAAAAACAGGAAACAUUAACCUAUUUUCUCGAUCUGAGCUCAGGCAAGAACACCCGCUGAACUUAAGCAUAUCAAUAAGCGGAGGAAAAGAAACUAACAAGGAUUCACCUAGGUAGCGGCGAGCGAAACGUGAAUAGCCCAACUUGAAAAUCUCCCUUUGGAGAAUUGUAGUCUAUAGAAGCGCCCUCUGCGGUGGCCGGGACCCAAGUUCGCUGGAAGGCGGCGUCAGAGAGGGUGAGAACCCCGUCGGUCCUUGGUUCAUUGCUCCACGAGGUGCUUUCAAAGAGUCGGGUUGUUUUGGGAAUGCAGCCCAAAAUUGGAGGUAAAUCCCUUCUAAGGCUAAAUAUUGGCGAGAGACCGAUAGCGAACAAGUACCGUGAGGGAAAGAUGAAAAGAACUUUGAAAAGAGAGUUAAAAAAGUGCUUGAAAUUGUUGAGGGGGAAGCGAUUGGAAGCUGUGGGUGCGUCUAGGCUUAAGCGGUUCUAACGAUCCGUUGAAUGUGCUAGAUGCUGGUCAACAUGGGUUAGCCUGGCGGGAUAAAAGUGGGGGUUGAUACCUCACCUAUGCCGUCGGACUGACCCAAGGUGUGAAUGGCGCUUUGUCAUUUGGAACUGCGUCAUCAAGAUGUUGGCAGAAGGCUUUCAAUCGGCCCGUCUUGAAACACGGACCAAGGAGUCUAACAUGUAUGCGAGUUGUGGGUGGGAAAACCCAUGAAGCGCAAGUAACCUGACUGGGGGGAUGGCCUGUGCCUGCACCCUCGACCGACCAUGAGCUUUUGCGAAAGGUUUGAGUGCGAGCAUACCUGUUGGGACCCGAAAGAUGGUGAACUAUGCCUGAGCAGGGUGAAGCCAGAGGAAACUCUGGUGGAGGCUCGUAGAUGUGCUGACGUGCAAAUCGGCUUUUCGGACUUGGGUAUAGGGGCGAAAGACUAAUCGAACCAUCUAGUAGCUGGUUCCCUC
rnacentral:misc_RNA from 1 species